UACAGAGGGGGCAAGCGUUAUUAGGAAUUAUUGGGCGGAAAGGGCGCGUAGGCGGCCAUUCAAGUGACGGGUGAAAGCCCUCGGCUUAACCGAGGAACUGCCUGUCAGACUGGAUGGCUUGAGACCGGGAGAGGUGAGUGGAAUUCCCAGUGUAGCGGUGAAAUGCGUAGAUAUUGGGAGGAACACCAGUGGCGAAGGCGGCUCACUGGACCGGAACUGACGCUGAGGCGCGAAAGCGUGGGGAGCGAACAGG
rnacentral:rRNA from 1 species